rnacentral:lncRNA from 10 species
AUGGAGUCUCGCUCUGUCGCCCAGGCUGGAGUGCAGUGGCACGAUCUCGGCUCACUGCAAGCUCCACCUCCCAGGUUCACGCCAUUCUCCUGUCUCAGCCUCCCGAGUAGCUGGGACUACAGGCGCCGGCCACCAUGCCCGGCUAAUUUUUUUUGUAUUUUUUAGUAGAGACUGGGUUUCACCAUGUUAGCCAGGAUGGUCUCGAUCUCCUGACCUCGUGA